rnacentral:rRNA from 1 species
UACAGAGAGUGCAAGCGUUGUUCGGAAUCAUUGGGCGUAAAGGGCGUGUAGGCGGCUCGCUAAGUCUGGUGUGAAAGCCCUCGGCUCAACCGAGGAAGUGCACUGGAAACUGGCGGGCUCGAGUACGGGAGAGGGAAGCGGAAUUCCUGGUGUAGAGGUGAAAUUCGUAGAUAUCAGGAGGAACAUCCGUGGCGAAGGCGGCUUCCUGGCCCGAUACUGACGCUGAGGCGCGAAAGCGUGGGGAGCAAACAGG